UUGGAGUUGCACCAGCAGCUGUUAGAGUUACGCCCGUCUCAGAUGCUAGUGUCUUUGGUUCUAUGCACUGCCUAAGCUGUACGUGAAACUGCACUACAGUGUUAAAUGUGCUAUUCACAGCAGGGUG